GUGUCCUUGGGGAUGAAUAUUCUCCCAACAGAGAGGACACCUUGACUGAGAAGCCUGGUAAACCUGCAGGAAACCCCAGCCCAUGGUAGGGGGUGAGUAUCUUGAUGCUGUGCCUCAUCGAAGAGAACCAUGCACACAGGGUCUUGGAUUAUGAGGAAAGUUGGCCAAGCCUUGUCAAGGACGGUUGAGGCACAGUGGGGUCAGCAGGAGCCCUGGGGCAAUGACAGGAGGUGGCUCACCCCACCACUUGUCUCCCCAGACCACCCCUUCUGCGCCCUCAUCCUCAUCUGCUUGGCGGGCCUCCUGGUGCUCAUCACAGGCCUGAUCUGCUGUCUCCUGCCAAAAGAAUGCAAUGGUGUCAAGAUUCCUGUUGAUGCCAGUAAACCUAAUCCAAAUGACGUGGAGUUUGGUAAUCUGUAUUUGGAUAUGAAUGGAAUCAUCCAUCCCCGUACUCAUCCUGAAGACAAACCAGCACCAAAAAACGAAGAUAAAAUGAUGGUUGCAAUUUUUGAAUACAUUGACAGACUUCAAUAUAGUAAGACCAAGACGACUUCUCUACAUGGCAAUAGAUGGAGUGGCACCACGUGCUAAAAUGAACCAGCAGCGUUCGAGGAGGUUCAGAGCAUCAAAGGAAGGAAUGGAAGCAGCAGUAGAGAAGCAGCGAGUCAGGGAAGAAAUACUGGCAAAAGGUGGCUUUCUUCCUCCAGAAGAAAUAAAAGAAAGAUUUGACAGCAACUGUAUUACACCAGUAAGUAGUCUCAGACUUUGCUGGCUAUUGCUAACUCUUAAAUG